GCCGGGUGUGGUGGUGUGCACCUGUAAUCCCAGCUACUCGGGAGGCUGAGGCAGGAGAAUCACAUGAACCUGGGAGGCAGAGGCGGAGGUUGCAGUGAGUUGAGAUUACUCCAUUGCACUCCAGCCCAGGCAACAGUGUGAGACUCUGUCUCAA
rfam:Gorilla gorilla gorilla genomic chromosome, chr5, whole genome shotgun sequence